AGCGCGUUGGUCUAACGGUAGGGCACCGGUCUCUCAAAUCGGUGGCACGGGUUCGACUCCCGUACGCGCUA
rnacentral:tRNA from 1 species